GUGGGGGCAGGGGUCAUCUGGGGCCUGUAAGUUCUUACUGUCAUUCUUCGGGCCACCCCUUCCAGCUGUGAGGCCUCCAGCCGCAUUCUCUGGGCGAUCCUCAGCGGGGGCCUCCUUCUGAGAGAGGCAGGGAUCGGUGGGCCAGGACAUUGUUGCCAGAGACAAAGUGGAGCUGGACAGCAGCUGUGUCAUUCUUGAGAGCCAGCAGGCCCUGCCACACGAUGGGAUACUUCUGUUCACAGGGAAACAAAGCAGAAGUAAGUUUGGGGCUGGAGAGCUGAGAGCAGGCCAUGCUGGCUGUGGCCCUAGGCAGCAUCUCGAUGGCCUAAGUCAACUGGGGAAUCCUAGCAUACUAAACCCAGCACACAGCUUGGGAGAUGGUGGAGGCAGCCCUCGCCCAUGCUUACCUUCAGAAGCUGGACCAUAUCCACAGAUCUCUGGGAAGUCAGGUGUGGAGAGGAAUCUGGCUUGGAGGCUGGCUGGACUUCAGUGUGGGCAGGGCCAGCCCUGGUGGGGUGCUUGGGCCUGAGGUUGUGGGAACAAAUAAUGGCUGCUUUGGGGCAGCCUGGGUGGGCAGAGGGGCCGGGAGGUCCGGCUUCAUGGAGACAGACACGGGGGAGGGGUAGGAAGUCUGGCCUCCUUCCACUUGCGCCCUCUGAACCUGGGGGGUAUGGGGUUCAGGUGGCCUGGAUGCUGGUACAGUUGGGAGGCGGGGUUGCUCAAUUCCUCCUGUCUGAGUCCCCUUUGCUUCUUGGGAAACCUGAGGCAUCUUGCUACAUGGUGGCUGGCCAGGCUGGCUGAGUUGGGAGGGAUUACAGGGCGGCACAGGCAGAGCAGGCUGUGUGGACUGCACAGGCGGGGCAGGCUGUGCAGACUGUGCAGGCUGAAUGGGCUGCAAGGGCUCACCUUCAGGAGUGCCCUAGUGUUGGAAAAGAAGGCAAGGGAACAGAGUCAGAGUCUGCUAUGCACAGGCCCCCUGCUCCCAACGAAGGGCCCAAUGGGCC
rnacentral:lncRNA from 1 species